rnacentral:misc_RNA from 1 species
UUAACGCGAAGUCGCGAAGUCUUCGUUUGCGUCACUGUGUGGUUCCCUGUAUGUUUCGUACGAACGACGUUGGAUUAAUUUCAGCCACUGAAAACGACUUUAGGAGUUAAAUCAUGGCUCCCGGGGGCCCAGCCGAGAAAAAAGGCAACGUCCUUCCGCUGUGGGGCAAUGAAAAGACGAUGAACCUCAACAACCUGAUUCUGACAAACAUUCUCUCGUCGCCUUAUUUCAAAGUAAAUCUGUACAAGUUGAAGACAUAUCACGAGGUCGUGGACGAGAUCUACUACAACGUGCAACACCUAGAGCCCUGGGAAAAGGGAAGCAGGAAGACAUCUGGCCAGACUGGAAUGUGUGGAGGGGUCCGUGGUGUCGGUGCGGGGGGCAUAGUGUCGACCGCGUUCUGCAUUCUCUACAAGCUGUUCACCCUCAAGCUGACCCGCAAGCAGCUCAACGGCCUCAUGAACCACUGCGACUCACCCUACAUCCGAGCGCUCGGCUUCAUGUACAUCAGAUUCACACAACCUCCAGCAGACCUAGUGGACUGGUAUGAACCGUACCUUGACGACGAAGAGUUACAAGUUGGAUUGACGACAUCCUCCUCUUGUUGAUGGGGUGCUGCACUUUUGGAAAGUGAAUGGUCAAACAAUAACGAAACAUUGAGCAUGCUUGAAUCUGAUCGGAGCACUCUACUAUGCUCAGGUUGCUCUUCCAGGCUGGCUGCGUCAAUGUGCCCGCACGUGCCUUGAGCUCGAAUUCGGG